rnacentral:lncRNA from 1 species
CAGGACGCCAUCUUCUUUUAUUGUUCAAGAAAGAAGUGUCCUUGUCAUACAACAGGAAAAAAAUGCUCUUUUGGCUGUUAGUCCUUCUGAUCCUUUGUGGUUUUCUGUGGAAUUAUAAAAGACAGCUAAAGAUCGCAAACAUCACUGAUAAGUACAUUUUCAUCACUGGGUGUGACACUGGCUUUGGAAACUUGGCAGCCAGAACUUUUGAUAAGAAAGGAUUUCAUGUAAUUGCUGCCUGCCUAACUGAAUCAGGAUCAACAGCUUUAAAGGCAGAAACUUCAGAGAGGCUUCAUACCGUGCUCCUGGAUGUAACUGACCCAGAAAAUGUCAAGAGGGCUGCCCAGUGGGUGAAAAACCAAGUUGGGGAGAAAGGUCUCUGGGGUCUGAUCAACAACGCUGGCAUUCUUGGUGUGCUGGCACCCAAUGACUGGCUGACAGUUGAGGACUACAGAGAACCUGUUGAAGUGAACCUGUUUGGACUCAUCAGUGUCACGUUAAACAUGCUUCCCUUGGUCAAAAAGGCUCGAGGGAGAAUUAUCAAUGUCUCCAGCAUUGGGGGUCGGCUUGCAUUUGGUGGAGGGGGCUAUUCGCCAUCUAAAUAUGCAGUAGAAGGCUUCAAUGACAGCUUAAGGCGGGACAUGAAAGCUUUUGGUGUGCAUGUCGCUUGCAUCGAACCAGGAUUGUUCAAAACCAAUUUGUCAGAUCCAGAAAAGACUGCUGAAAAGAAACUUGCCAUUUGGAAGCAUCUGUCUCCAGACAUCAAACAACAAUAUGGAGAAAGCUACAUUGAGAAAAGCCUAGAACAAUUGAAAGGCACUGCAUCCUUUGUGAACGUGGAUCUGUCCCUGGUGGUGGAGUGCAUGGACCAUGCUCUCACAAGUCUCUUCCCUAAAACCCGUUAUGCUGCUGGAAAAGAUGCCAAAACUUUCUGGAUCCCUCUGUCUCACAUGCCAGCAGUUUUGCAAGACUUUUUAUUGUUGAAACAGAAAGUAGAGCUGGCUAAUCCCAGGGCAGUAUGACUCAGCUGAUGACAAAUACCUGCCCCAGGCUGCGAAAUUGGCUGAUUUCUAGAACACAUCUCCUCAAUCUCAUUCUUUACCUAAUCCAAACUGGACUCAUUUGAAUCAAACUCCUUUUGGUAAAAAGACGGGCUGCCACCAUCACCUUCGAGGUUCCAGGGUCCCUCCUCAAAUUUUUCUUGAGAAGAUGGGCAGUGAUGGCGCCUGCCCAAUAUUUAGUCUUUGCCUGCUGGUUAUAAUGCAUGGAAGGUGGACAGGCUUUCCCAUCCAAAAUGAUUUUUCACCCGUGCCUGCCCCCUGCUUCUAAUCCAUACCACUUAGAGUGACUCCUGAAUGUUAAAUAUUUGUUCCUGAUCAAAAUAUUAAGAGAUAAGUAAAAUAAUUUCCUAAAGGGGG